rnacentral:lncRNA from 12 species
CCCCCCCCCCCCCCCCCCCCCCCCCCCCCCCCCCCCCCCCCCCCCCCCCCCCCCCCCCCCCCCCGGUGGUAGCCCAGGGGUUGUCAAAGCUUGCAGUGAUGGUUCGGAGGGUUCCAAGAGUUCUGGAGAUGUUCCCAAGAGCCCCGGGGACGUCCAGGAGGGUCCAAAGAGCCCCAGGGACAUCCAGGAGGAUCCCAAGAGCUCCAAACAUGUCCCCAACAGUCCCAGGGACAUCCAGGAGGAUCCCAAGAGCCCCAGGGACAUCCAGGAGGGUCCCAAGAGCCCCAGGGACAUCCAGGAGGGUCACAGCAUCUCUGGAGAUGUCCCCAACGGUCCUAAGAGCUCCAACCGUGUCUUUGAGGCCCCAGGGACAUCCAGGAGGGUCCCAAGAGCUCCAACCAUGUUUUUGAGAGUCCCAGGGACAUCCAGGAGGAUCCCAAGAGCCCCAGAGAUGUCCAAAAUGGUCCCAAGAGCUCCAGAGAUGUUCUAGAAGGUCCCAAGGACAUCCAGGAGGGUCUCAAGGGCUCCAACGAUGUUCUAGAAGGUUCCAAGAGGUCCAGAGAUCUCCUCAAGAGCCCCAACGAUGUCUUUGAGAGUCCCAGGGACAUCCAGGAAGAUCCCAAGAGCUUUAAGAAAGUUCAGGAAGGUCCUGAGAGCUCCAGCAAAGUUUCCAAAGGUCCCAAGUGCUCCAGAGAUGUCCAAAAUGGUCCCAAGAGCCCCAGGGAUGUCCCCAACGGUCCCAAGGACAUCCAGGAGGGUCCCAAGAGCUUUAAGAAAAUUCAGGAAGGUCCCGAGAGCUCCAGCAAAGUCCCCAAAGGUGCCAAGAGCUGCAGGAAGGUCCAGAGGAGACGCCCCAGGGACACUGGAGGAGCCCCCGGGGGCUCCCAGGACUCGGAGCCAGGUGGCCCCAGGAAGGUGGAGGAAGGAACCGACGCCCUGGAGAUGGAGCAGAGAGCCCAGAGCCUCUGCUGGGGGGCUGGGGGGGACCCCAGAGAGGGACGAGGUGGCCCCAGAAAUGGACAGGAUGACCCCAAAAUGGGACAGGAUGACCCCAGAGAGGGACGGGGUGACCCCAAAAAUGGACAGGAUGACCCCGGAGAGGGGCAUGAGCCAAGAGGACGAGAGGAUCCCAAAAAAGGACGAGAUGACCCCAAAGAGGGAUUUAAUGACCCAGGAGAAGGACGAGAUGACCCCAGGAUGGAUCACGGUGACCCCAGGAAGGUUCACAAUGACCUGGGAGAGGAACAUGACUUUGGAGAAAGCCACAGUGACCCCAGGGGUGGCCGCAGUGACCCCAGGGAUGGCCACAGCGACCCCAGGGAUGGCCGCAGCGACCCCAGGGAUGGCCGCAGCCCCCCCCCCCCCCCCCCCCCCCCCCCCCCCCCCCCCCCCCCCCCCCCCCCCCCCCCCCCCCCCCCCCCCCCCCCCCCCCCCCCCCCCCCCCCCCCCCCCCCCCCCCCCCCCCCCCCCCCCCCCCCCCCGCGACCCCAGGGGUGGCCACAGCGACCCCAGGGAUGGCCACAGCGACCCCAGGGAUGGCCGCAGUGACCCCAGGGAUGACCGCCAUGACUCCAAGGACAGCCACGAUGACCCCAAGGAGGGACAUGAUGACCCUGGGCAUGACCACCAUGACCCCAAGGACAGCUGCGAUGACUCCAGACGUGGCCACCAUGACCCCAGACGUGGCCACCAUGACCUCAAGCAUGACCACGACCUCAACGCUGACCCCAAACCCCCCAACCCCACCACCCCCGACGAUCCUUGGGGCGGCCGUUGGGCUUGGGAAGACCCUUCCACCUCUUCCUCCUCCUCGUGCUCCUCCUCCUCCUCCUCCUCGUCGGACGAAGAGCUGGCGCUGGAGGACGACGGAGCCCCGUUGCCACCGCCGGAGGAGCUGGGCCAGGGCAACCCGUUCCUGCUGUUCGUGUGCCUGGCCAUGCUGCUGGAGCAGCGCGACGCCGUCAUGGCGCGCGCCGGCGACUACAACGAGGUGGCCAUGCACUUCGACCGGCUGGGGCGGCGGCACUGCCUGCCCCGCGUGCUGCGCCGCGCCAAGGCGCUCUUCGCCAGGUACCUGGAGGGCUGGGGGGCGCCCCAGGGGGCGGCCCAGCCGGGACCCCAAAUCGGGUAAAGGGGCCGGGCCGGGAGAGGGUGGGGAGGUCCGAAGGUCGCUGGAGGUUUUUUUAGGACAAUGUGGGGAACGCCGUAAAACAUCUCAAAGAGGUUCUGGGGUCACCACGAGGGAGCCUGAGGUCAGUGGGGGGGUUGUAGGACAAGGUGGGGACACCAUAGAACAUAUCCUGGACGUUCCAGUGUCACUGGAGGUCUGUAGGAGCGUGUGGUGCCACCAUAAAACGUCCCCCUGAGGUCACCCUGAGGAGCCUUUGGACACUUUGGGGUCUCUAGGAGCAUGUGGUGCCACCAUAAAACGUCCCCCUGAGGUCACCCUGAGGAGCCUUUGGGCGGUUUGGGGUCUGUAGGACAAUGUGGUGACACCAUAAAACGUCCCCCUGAGGUCACCCUGAGGAACCUUUGGACACUUUGGGGUCUGUAGGACAAUGUGGGGAGGCCAUAAAAUGUUCCCCUGAGGAGCCUUUGGACGAUUCGGGGUCUGUAGGACAAUGUGGUGACUCCAUAAAACAUCUCCAGGAGGUUCUGGGGUCACCAUGGGGUCCCCAUGGUCACUGUGGGGUCUGUAGGACGCCCCUUCCCCACCUGCUCUUCGCCAGGUACCUGGAGGGGUGGGGGGCGCCCCAGGGAGACCCCAGGUGGGACCCCAAAUGGGGUAAAGGGGCUGGGGGAGAGGGUGGGGAGGUCCGAGGCCACCACAGGGAGUCCUUGGCCACCACUGGGGGGUUGUAUGACGAGGUGGGGACAAUAUAAAAUAUCCCCAAGAGGUCCUGAGGUCACUUUGGGGUCUGUAGGACAAUGUGGUGACCCCAUAAAAUGCUUCCCUGAGGUCAUCGUUGGGACCCUUUGGACAGUUUGGAGUUUGUAGAACAAGGUGAGGACACCGUAAAACGUCCCCCUGAGGUCACCCUGAGGAGCCUUUGGCCCCCCCCCCCCCCCCCCCCCCCCCCCCCCCCCCCCCCCCCCCCCCCCCCCCCC